CCACUUUUAACUUUUCUGAUUACAAUUCCAUAUGAGUUUCCAUAGGGACACACAGCCAAAUCUUAUUAUUCUGUCCCUGCCCCACAAAUCUCACAUCCUUCUCACUUUGCAAAAUACAAUGAUGCCUUACUUACAAUUCCCCAAGCUACUGUGCUUUUUUUUUACAGCCUGUAGAACCAUGAGUCAAUUAAACCUUUUUGUUAUGAUCAUACAGAAAAUUAGUAUUGUGAAGUGAAGCUAUGAAAUGCCUUCAAUGACUAUUCCCCAUCAUCUUGGUUAAGACCCCCAAGGUCUUAACCAUUCUAGCAUUUAGUCAAAUGUCUGAAGCCCAAAGUCUCAUCUGAGACAAAGAUGCAGUCCCUUCUCCUCCUGAGCCUCUGAAAUACAAAGCAAGUUAACUGCUUCCAAGGUAUGAUUGUCCAGACAUUGAGUAAGAAUUCCCAACCAAAAGGAAGAUUUUUGCCAGAGAGAAGAACAAAACACAAACGAGACUUACAGGUCCCAUGAAAAUCCAAAACCCAGCAGGCCAGUUAUUCAAACCUACAGCUCCAAAGUCAUCCUUUUCCAAUCCUUGUCCCAUCUCCAGGGCACAAGGGUAUGAGGGCUGGGUUCCCAAGGCCUUGGGCAGCUCUCUACCUGUGGCUUUGCAGUGUUCAGUCCCCACAGCUGCCCUCAUGGGCUGUGCUGGUGUUGACUGACUGUAGUUUUUACCCACAGACAGUACAAAGUUCUUGGUGGGUCUAUGAAUCUGGGGUCUGCAUGAUGCUGGCCUCCAUUGUGGGGGCUCCAAGCCCAUAUUUUCCUUCUGCACUGCCCUAGUAGAGGUUUCCCAGGAGGCUCUGCUUUUUGGCUCCUUCUGUCUGGACUCCCAGGUAUUUUCAUACGUCUUCUGAAAUCUAUAUGAAGGCUCCGAAGCCUCUGGGCUAGUGCUCUGUGCACUCGCGGGCUUAACACUAUGUGGAAGCCAUGAAGCCUUAUAGCCUGUACCCUCUGAAGCAGUGAUGCAAUCUGUACCGGUGCAUCUUUCAGCCAAGUUUGGAACAGGAGCCGGGGCUGCCAGGAUGCAGGCAGCAGUGUCCUGAGGCUGCAAACAGCCGCAGGGUCAUGGGGCUGGCCCAGGAAACCAUUCUUCUCUCCUAGGCUCCAGGGCCUGUGACAGCAAGGGCUGCUGCAAACAUCUCUGAAAUGCCUCCAAGACUUUUUCCCCCAUUGUCUUGGCUAUUAGCACUGGCCUCCAUUUUAUGCAAGUUUCUGGAGCCUUCAUGAAUUUUCCCCCUGAAAAUCAGCUUUUCUUUUUGACCACUUGGCCAGGCUGCGGAUAUUCCAAACUUUUGAGCUCUGCUUGUCAUUUAAAUAUAAGUUCCAACUUGAGGUCAUUUCCUCGGUCACACAUAACCUCGGUCACACAUAACCUCAGUCACACAUGAAAGCACAGGCUGUUUGAUGCAGACAUGCCCCCACCCUUGUGCUAUGCUGCCUAGAAGUUCUUUCCACCAGAUAUGCACUAAAUCUUCACCCUAGAGUUCAAAAUUUCACAGAUCUUGAGGGCAAGGUCGCCCUGCAGCCAUGUUCUUUGCUACAGCAAAACAAAAGCUAACCUUGGCUCCCGUUCCCAGUAAGAUCCUCAUUUUCAUCUGAGACCUUGUAAGCCUGGCCUUCACUGUCCAUCCUUCUGUCAGCCUUUCAAUCACAACUAUUUAACAAGUGCCUACAAUGGUCCAAACUUUCCUUCAUCUCUCUGUCUUCUUUCAAGAUCUCCAAACUCUCCAACCUCUGGCUGUUACCCACUUCCGAACCUGCUUUACAUUUUCAGCUAUCUUUGUUGCAGCCUGGCAAUGCAGAAGAAAAAGAAGUCCAUUUUCAGGGGGAAACUUCAAGAAGCCUUCAGAUAUUUGCAUUAAAAAGAAGUCCAGUGCUAAUAGCCAAGACGAUGGGGAAAUGUCAUUGAAGAUAUUUCAUAGCUCCACUUCGCAGUACUUUAUUUUCUGUAUGAUCGUAAUGAAAAGGGGUUUAAUUGGCUCAUGGUUCUGCAGGCUGUAAAGAAAGCAUAGUGGCUUCUGCUUCUGGGAGGACUCAGGAAGCCUCCCAAUCACAGCAGUAGGAAAACUGCAAUGAAAUGUUUCAUACAGAAGGAGUAGGAGCAAGGCUGAGAGAGGAAAGUGGUGCCACACCAUCCUGUAACCAGAUCUCAUGAGAACUCACUAUCACUAGGUCAGCAUCAAGAAGAUGGUGCUUAACCGUUGGUGAAGGAUCCGCCCCCCAACACAGCUCCACCCCCUACCGUUCCAGACAGAAGCCUGCUGCAGAGGCAGAGGCUCUUGGAAAUCCUGUACUAUGGCAGUGCAGAAGGAAAAUAAGGGCUUUGAGUGACUAUGCAGGAGGCCACCAGCCUCUAGACCCCAGAUUCAUAGACCUACCAACAGUUCACACCCUCAGUAUGGAAAAGUGAUAGGCACUCAACACCAGCCAAGCCCAUGAGAGCAGCCAUGGGGC
rnacentral:lncRNA from 1 species